rnacentral:rRNA from 1 species
CCUACGGGUGGCAGCAGUGAGGAAUAUUGGUCAAUGGGCGCGAGCCUGAACCAGCCAAGUAGCGUGAAGGAUGACUGCCCUACGGGUUGUAAACUUCUUUUAUAAGGGAAUAAAGUGAGGCACGUGUGCCAUUUUGUAUGUACUUUAUGAAUAAGGAUCGGCUAACUCCGUGCCAGCAGCCGCGGUAAUACGGAGGAUCCGAGCGUUAUCCGGAUUUAUUGGGUUUAAAGGGAGCGUAGGUGGGUUGUUAAGUCAGUUGUGAAAGUUUGCGGCUCAACCGUAAAAUUGCAAUUGAUACUGGCAGACUAGAGUACAGUAGGGGGAGGCGGAAUUCGUGGUGUAGCAGUGAAAUGCUUAGAUAUCACGAAGAACUCCGAUGGCGAAGGCAGCUUACUGGACUGCAACUGACACUGAGGCUCGAAAGUGUGGGGAUCAAACUGGAUUAGAUACCCUGGUAGUC